rnacentral:misc_RNA from 1 species
UACGUAGGGAGCAAGCGUUGUCCGGAUUUACUGGGUGUAAAGGGUGCGUAGGCGGCUUUUUAAGUCAGAUGUGAAAUCUAUGGGCUCAACCCAUAAACUGCAUUUGAAACUAGAGAGCUUGAGUGAAGUAGAGGCAGGCGGAAUUCCCUGUGUAGCGGUGAAAUGCGUAGAGAUAGGGAGGAACACCAGUGGCGAAGGCGGCCUGCUGGGCUUUAACUGACGCUGAGGCACGAAAGCGUGGGUAGCAAACAGG